GCGCCUGUAGCUCAAUUGGAUAGAGUAUCAGAUUCCGAUUCUGGCGGUUGUAGGUUCGAGCCCUAUCAGGCGCGCCA
rnacentral:tRNA from 2 species